rnacentral:rRNA from 1 species
UACGAAGGGGGCUAGCGUUGCUCGGAAUCACUGGGCGUAGAGGGCGCGUAGGCGGGUUCUUAAGUCAGGGGUGAAAGCCCAAGGCUCAACCUUGGAAUUGCCUUUGAUACUGAGGGCCUUGAGACCGGAAGAGGUCGGCGGAACUGCGAGUGUAGAGGUGAAAUUCGUAGAUAUUCGCAAGAACACCAGUGGCGAAGGCGGCCGACUGGUCCGGUUCUGACGCUGAGGCGCGAAAGCGUGGGGAGCAAACAGG